rnacentral:rRNA from 1 species
AUUGAACGCUGGCGGCAUGCCUUACGCAUGCAAGUCGAACGGCAGCACGGGUGCUUGCACCUGGUGGCGAGUGGCGAACGGGUGAGUAAUACAUCGGAACAUGUCCUGUAGUGGGGGAUAGCCCGGCGAAAGCCGGAUUAAUACCGCAUACGAUCUACGGAUGAAAGCGGGGGACCUUCGGGCCUCGCGCUAUAGGGUUGGCCGAUAGCUGAUUAGCUAGUUGGUGGGGUAAAGGCCUACCAAGGCGACGAUCAGUAGCUGGUCUGAGAGGACGACCAGCCACACAGGGACUGAGACACGGCCCAGACUCCUACGGGAGGCAGCAGUGGGGAAUUUUGGACAAUGGGCGAAAGCCUGAUCCAGCAAUGCCGCGUGUGUGAAGAAGGCCUUCGGGUUGUAAAGCACUUUUGUCCGGAAAGAAAUCCUUGGCUCUAAUACAGUCGGGGGAUGACGGUACCGGAAGAAUAAGCACCGGCUAACUACGUG